UACGGGGGGGGCAAGCGUUGUUCGGAAUUACUGGGCGUAAAGGGCGCGUAGGCGGCCAGACAAAGUCGAGCGUUAAAUUCCAGGGCUUAACCCUGGGCUGUUGCUCGAUACUAGUCGGCUAGAGUGUGGAAGAGGGUGCUGGAAUUCCCGGUGUAGCGGUGAAAUGCGUAGAUAUCGGGAGGAACCCCAGAGGCGAAGGCGGCGUCCUGGCUCGCAUCUGACGCUCAGACACGACAGCAUGGGGAGCGAACGGG
rnacentral:rRNA from 1 species